GAAGACAUUUCAAGCCAAAGUUACUGAAAGCUUCCCCCAUGGAUAUACCAUUGAAACCAUCAUAGAUGGAAAGCCUCUACGUGGAAUAUUAUUUGCCAACAAGCCAAUCACUCCCCAGACGUCUAAUCAUAAUAAUACAAGGAAAAGGGCUGGUGGGGAAAUUGGCACUGGUAUGUUGAAUGGUGAUCACAACAACAAAGCAAAAGUCUCUAGAAUCCUCAAGCAGGAUACAGUUGAUCACAUACAACCAGAAAAUGCUCAUGGGAAGGAGACUGCAUCACAUGAACCCAAGACAGAAGCUGCUGUUGCGCCUGGUUUAAAGAACCUUGCAUCUUCUGAUGUUUCUCAGCUCCAUGAGGUCCCUGCAAACCCAGAACCAUCUGUAGCUCCUCUGAAUUUAAAUGAUGAUAUGA
rnacentral:misc_RNA from 1 species